ncrna:unclassified sequences IMES-2 RNA motif
AACUGACUUAAGAGGCAACUCUUAACUGGCCAGGUAAGGAAAGACCGAGAGGUUCAAGCUCACCGGGCAGAAAACCCCACAGAGUAGCGCUUAACAUAGUGGGGUGGCGGGUUCGACGGUAGCGCAUACAACGGCGAACCAA